rnacentral:misc_RNA from 1 species
UUUCCGUAGGUGAACCUGCGGAAGGAUCAUUACCGUAAAAAACCAAGUACGCCAUGGUGAGAGCUCUCGUCCGUGUCCCUUUUUUAUUAGGGACGCGUGCCGGGUUCGCGCCGUGGCCGUCCUUUUCAACCCCUUGUGUGAACCAUCGAUUUCAAUGUGUGUGCAAGUAAAAGUGAGCAAAGAUUAAACCCUUAUGCACAACCACUUGCCCACGCAUAUGAUUUUCACUCCGAUGUGGGUGUGCCGUGUUUUGCUUGGCCUCGCCGCGCAAGACAUGCACGUCCUUACCAACAACCGAAAACCACAACCAAUGGGACUAACAUGCUUCUGUUGAACCGAAAACAACUUUUAACAACGGAUCUCUAGGCUCUC